UGAGGAAUAUUGGACAAUGGGUGAGAGCCUGAUCCAGCCAUCCCGCGUGAAGGACGACUGCCCUAUGGGUUGUAAACUUCUUUUAUACUGGGAUAAACCUACCCUCGUGAGGGUAGCUGAAGGUACAGUAUGAAUAAGCACCGGCUAACUCCGUGCCAGCAGCCGCGGUAAUACGGAGGGUGCAAGCGUUAUCCGGAUUUAUUGGGUUUAAAGGGUCCGUAGGCGGGCUCGUAAGUCAGUGGUGAAAUCUCAUAGCUUAACUAUGAAACUGCCAUUGAUACUGCGGGUCUUGAGUAAAGUAGAAGUGGCUGGAAUAAGUAGUGUAGCGGUGAAAUGCAUAGAUAUUACUUAGAACACCAAUUGCGAAGGCAGGUCACUAUGUUUU
rnacentral:rRNA from 1 species